rnacentral:tRNA from 1 species
GGGGAUGUGGUCUAGUGGUAUGACGGAUCCUUAGCAUCGUGUUUAAAACGAGUGUUUGGAUCAGGUCCGGGGUUCGAUUCCCCGCAUCUCCA